CGUGGUGACACGGAAUCUGAAGGAAGUGAGCGGCAAACCUCCGGUCUGAGGAACACGAAUCUCAUAUAAGGCUAGGUAUGACUGGAUGAGUGUGCUAAACAACACAAAGUCCUUUCUGUCAAAGGUUAUAUCUAGUAAAUGAGGCAGAUAGAUGGAGCGAAAGAG
rnacentral:ncRNA from 1 species